UAGGGAAUCUUCCGCAAUGGGCGAAAGCCUGACGGAGCAACGCCGCGUGAGUGAUGAAGGUCUUCGGAUCGUAAAACUCUGUUAUUAGGGAAGAACAAAUGUGUAAGUAACUGUGCACGUCUUGACGGUACCUAAUCAGAAAGCCACGGCUAACUACGUGCCAGCAGCCGCGGUAAUACGUAGGUGGCAAGCGUUAUCCGGAAUUAUUGGGCGUAAAGCGCGCGUAGGCGGUUUCUUAAGUCUGAUGUGAAAGCCCACGGCUCAACCAUGGAGGGUCAUUGGAAACUGGGAAACUUGAGUGCAGAAGAGGAAAGUGGAAUUCCAUGUGUAGCGGUGAAAUGCGCAGAGAUAUGGAGGAACACCAGUGGCGAAGGCGACUUUCUGGUCUGUAACUGACGCUGAUGUGCGAAAGCGUGGGGAUCAAACAGG
rnacentral:rRNA from 1 species